rnacentral:rRNA from 1 species
AGUGAACGCUGGCGGUAGGCCUAACACAUGCAAGUCGAACGGCAGCACAGUAAGAGCUUGCUCUUACGGGUGGCGAGUGGCGGACGUGUGAGGAAUACAUCGUAAUCUACUUUUUCGUGGGGGAUAACGUAGGGAAACUUACGCUAAUACCGCAUACGACCUACGGGUGAAAGCAGGGGAUCUUCGGACCUUGCGCGAUUGAAUGAGCCGAUGUCGGAUUAGCUAGUUGGCGGGGUAAAGGCCCACCAAGGCGACGAUCCGUAGCUGGUCUGAGAGGAGGAUGAGCCACACUGGAACUGAGACACGGUCCAGGCUCCUACGGGAGGCAGCAGUGGGGAAUAUUGGACGAUGGGGGCAAGCCUGAUCCAGCCAUACCGCGUGGGUGAAGAAGGCCUUCGGGUUGUAAAGCCCUUUUGUUGGGAAAGAAAAGCAGCAGGUUAAUACCCCGCUGUUCUGACGGUACCCAAAGAAUAAGCACCGGCUAACUUCGUG